AGGGUCUAGGGAUGUCUGGGUUAUGUCAACUAUUUGUUGAUCGGUAAGCUUGGACCUUGGUCCAAUAAGUGUUAUUUUGUAGGGUACCAUAAGAAAACUAAGGGGUAUUAUUUCUAUCUUAUUGAAGAACAAGAGUUGUUCGGUAUUCAUUUUAAAGAAAGAGUUUCUUGAUGAAGAAAUUGAUGCCUUUAAAGUUAAACUUAUGAAGUUUGAUGGUAGAAAAACUGACACAAUCUAGUAAACUCAUAGAAUC
rnacentral:lncRNA from 1 species